UUAAUAUAACACUCACAAUUAGCUCUCCAACAUCUGAUUCAAAAAUGGAAACCCAGCGUAAUAGGCGAUAUGAAGAAGAAGAAGAAGGGAGUUCGAAGCCUUUAUCUGGAUGUGUUGGCUACUUUUUCUGACACACAAUUGGCUGGGGCCUGGGGGCACAAUUUUGGAUAGAAGGGAAAACAGUGAUUGGUGCAUUUCACACACUAGAAGUUGAGCUUCACAGACCUUUCGUUUUGGGGAAGGACGUUUGGGACUCACUUGCUUUGGAGGCUCUUCGUCAAGCUGCUGAUCCUGCUGCAAGUGCUGACCUGGCUGUGGUUUUGAUGCAAGAGGGCUCGGCACAAAUUUUUCUAAUUGGUAAAAGUGUGACAAUUUCUCGUUCUCGGAUAGAGACUUCUAUUCCUCGGAAGCAUAGCCCUGCUAUAGCUGGUUAUGAUAAAGCUCUGACCAAGUUCUUCAAUAAUGUUGUAGAUGCUUUCCUUUAGCAUAUUAUUUCAACGUGAUUCGUUGUGCUGUGAUUGCAAGUCCGGGAUUCACAAAGGAUCAAUUUCAUCGUCACUUGCUGUUAGAAGCAGAGAGGAAGCAACUGAGACCUAUAAUAGAGAACAAAUCACGGAUAAUUCUUGCACAUACUACCUCGGGAUAUAAGCAUAGUCUGAAAGAAGUUCUAGAUGCCCCCAAUGUGAUGAAUAUGAUUAAAGAUACAAAAGCUGCAAAAGGGGUUGUUUCUGCACCUCAUUCACUUUGAUAUGAGAUUUUCUUCAUUUCUUUUUUUGUUUAAAUUUUAUAUUAAAUCAUGUUUGUUUUGAAUUCUUAUUUUGGACUAACUGAAACUGUCUUUCUUCUUCCUUUUUUUACUUAGGUACAAGCCCUCAAGGAUUUCUUCAACAUGCUUUCAAAUGACCCUGAUCGCGCAUGCUAUGGACCAAAACAUGUGGAAGUUGCUCAUGAGCGAAUGGCUAUCCAAACACUUCUCAUCACAGAUGAAGUCUUCAGGAACUCUGAUGUAGCAACAAGACAAAAAUAUGCCUAUUUAGUGAAUGCGGUGAAGACAAAAGUAUUUUUUGUACAAGUAGAUGUGAUUCAUUUGUCUAUGCUGUUUAGUACUUUGUAUAUAUAAAGUAGGAG